GUAAAAGUCGUAACAAGGUUUCCGUAGGUGAACCUGCGGAAGGAUCAUUAACGAGUAACUGAACAGGUUGUAGCUGCCCUCUCGGGGCAUGUGCACGCCUGGCUCAUCCACUCUUCAACCACUGUGCACUUAUUGUAGGUCGGUUCAGAAGGGCGAGUGUAACAGCUCGCUCGGAAGGCCUUCCUAUGUUUUAUUACGAACGCUUCAGUUUAAGAAUGUAAACCUGCGUAUAACGCAUCUAUAUACAACUUUCAGCAACGGAUCUCUUGGCUCUCGCAUCGAUGAAGAACGCAGCGAAAUGCGAUAAGUAAUGUGAAUUGCAGAAUUCAGUGAAUCAUCGAAUCUUUGAACGCACCUUGCGCUCCCUGGUAUUCCGGGGAGCAUGCCUGUUUGAGUGUCAUGGUAUUCUCAUCCUUCAUAACUUUUGUUAUCGAAGGCAUGGACUUGGAGGUCGUGCUGGUUCCUCGUUGAAUCGGCUCCUCUCAAAUGCAUUAGCGUGAGUGUAACGGAUCGCUUCGGUGUGAUAAUUAUCUGCGCCGUGGUCGUGAAGUAACAUAAGCUUGCGCUUCUAACCGUCCUUAAGCUGGACAACUUACUUUGACAUCUGACCUCAAAUCAGGUAGGACUACCCGCUGAACUUAAGCAUAUCAAUAAGCGGAGGAAAAGAAACUAACAAGGAUUCCCCUAGUAACUGCGAGUGAAGCGGGAAAAGCUCAAAUUUAAAAUCUGGCAGCUUUGGCUGUCCGAGUUGUAAUCUGGAGAAGCGUCUUCCGCGC
rnacentral:rRNA from 1 species